UGCACAGUAGUUCAAGAAAGAGCCAACGG
rnacentral:piRNA from 1 species